AUUUUCAAUGUGGGACUAUGCACAAAGGCAAGAUUGUCUUUUCAUGAACAACAUAGCCAACAGAUAUUUCAUACCAUUUCAAUUUUUUCUUGCAAUUGCAGAAUGUUCCUUUCAACCGUCAAGAGAUCGAGAGUGCUGAAGGGCUCUGAGCUUUCAACAGUAGCUGUGGGAGCAGUUAGCAGGAAAAGAACAGCUAUUGAGUGCUGAAUUAAGUAAAAGAUGAGGGUCUUCUUCGUUUGAGUCAUGAUUUUGAUUUAUUAUUCUACUACUGCUAAAACUAUAUGAACAGCACAGUGUACCAUAUGUAAAUGUAUAUGAAACUUAUGAUAUUUUGGUUGUAUUGUUGUAAUGGAUAUGACAUGAUGAAAUUGUUUUCA